rnacentral:sRNA from 1 species
AUCAACCGAGGCGCUGGAUGUGCUUCGCAGGUCAUGGAUGAUCUACCAUUUGCCGGGACGGCUACUGACAGGAUGUUGGAAUGGUGUUGAAAGAAAAGAACCCGCUCAGGCGGGUUUUUU